rnacentral:rRNA from 1 species
AAGGGCACCACAAGAACGUGGAGCAUGUGGCUUAAUUUGACUCAACGCGGGAAAUCUUACCGGGUCCGGACACACUGAGGAUUGACAGACAGUAUUCAUGCCGACUGAAUUUCGACAUAUUUCAAAUGUGCGAGUUCUUUCAUGAUUGUGUGAUAGGUGGUGCAUGGCCGUUCUUAGUUCGUGGAGUGAUCUGUCUGCUUAAUUGCGUUUCAUAUUUACGAAUGUCGCUUACGUGAUUGCUGCAGACCUCGUCUCUUUAUUGAGUGCGACGCGUCUCUUCAACUCACUCGCACAUUCUCUUGAACGCAACGAGCGUGACCGCAACCUCUUGUUGUGUAUACCAAGUGUGUCGUUGCUUGCAACUCACACUCCAAUGCACGUAUUUUGGUCACAUUGUCUCGGCCGUCGCGCGCAGCCUCGGCUGUGUCGGCGCCAGCAAUGUCCAAAUAAACUUGAGGGACCGCUGUAACAAUUCUUUUAAACCAGAGGAAGGUUGCGGCAAUAACAGGUCUGUGAUGCCCUUAGAUGUCCCGGGCUGCACACGUGCUACAAUGAUCAGUACAGUGAGCAUCUUUGCAAUACCAGCGUUUGGAGGCCUGGCCAAGUCACUUGUGACUCGGCUUGCAGUCUCUACGUUGCCUUCCCAAGUCUGACAAGAUUUGGAAAUCCAUUGGAAGUCCUGAAUCAAUCCCUAUUGAGCAUUUUUCUCUACAGUGGCGCCAGACUUCGUCCCAUGUCGGUUCGCCUGACUUGUGCGGCACUUGGCGUCUACUAUAUGCAAUUGUCAAUUCAUAGUGGGGACAGACGAUUGUUAAUUGUUCGUCUCGGUCUCAACUAGGAAUGCCUUGUACGGGUCUUUG